UUGACAACAAAAGAGACCAGCAGCAUUUUUUGUUGUUGUUGUUUGCACUUGUGCAUCGUGGAUAAAUCUGUGGUGACCAAUGAGCUGUCGCAAGCUCUUCUUUUAAUACUUUGAGAUCAAGGUGACAACAGCAAUUAGGUUCAGCGUUCAUGGUUCAUAAAGGUUUAGUAACAAAAGAAGAAAGAUCGGAGGAAAUCAAGGGAGGUCUCAGCAAGUUCUGCGAUUAGCCAUCUGAUUUGCAAGUCAUGGAUAUAUCUAUAUUUCUUCAGUGGUCCUAGUUCAGAAAACAGCUUCUGACAAUCACUCUCAGGCCGACGCCAUCUGCUGGGACUCAGUGAGAGCUCCGAUAAUCAGAAAGAAAAAGCAAACACAAUUCUGGCCAUGGCCACCACAGCCUCGGUCUGCGUGCCUUUCCUGCUGAUCCUCCAGGGUCUUCCCACAGUUCAAAGACUGAUUUCUGCAGAUUCGUGUUAAAUGAACGGGAAACCACUGUGGCUGUGAAUGUGAUUAUCUACCAAGAGACAUUUAAUUUUAGGGCAAAAUGACAAAUUAUAAUCUUAUCUCUGCGUGAAAAACCACUGUCUGCUCAUUUACUUGAAUGGGGCCAAUCCAGUCAGCAAGACACAGCAGCAGCCAAUCAAAUACAUGCUUUCCUGCUCAAUUAUUUU
ensembl:lncRNA